UAAAUUUCACAUAUGUAUAAUAAUGGAAUUAGUUGUAAAAAAAUCACCGAAUACUGCUUUACGUAGCAGUACAACAAAAUCAUCAUCAGCAUCAGAGUCAUCUACUACAGCAUCAGCUAAUGUAACAGAUGGUACUAAUAAUAAUCCAUUUCAACGACAUGAUGUACAAGAAUGGUCACGUUUAGAUUCAAUUACUGGCAUGAUAGAACAUGCACGUUUGCAACGAGAUCAUUGGACAGCAAAUACACAUAAUUCAACACAACAGUAUGGCAAAAUAAUAGAUUCACGUGACAAAUCAGCUGCAGAUGGUAAUAUCCAACAACGGCACCGUAAACAGUUGGAAGUAUUUCAGACGCAAACACCUGGUGGUUCAUUACAAGUAAUUCGUACCCAAACCAUAACAAGUAGUUCAUCUAGAUGGUCAUCGUCAAAUGUUACAUCAUCCACAUCUUCGUCAACGGGAACAUCAACGGUGCUAGGUAGUAAUUUAAGUCAACUAAUUAGUAAUAAUGAUGGCGACGAUACAACACGAACAAUAAAUCCAGAUUUUGAAAAUUUACAGUUAGCGUUAAACCCACUCGAUCUGAGCUCGCAGAAAUCGAAAGCGAGCGUGGGCCGAAGUGGUUCUAUUGGUGGUAGGCGACCUCCAUCACGACCUCGUAGUUAUAUUGGUAGUAAAACGGAUAAUACCCUACAACAGACAUCAAACACUAUUUCAUCUACAUCCAAACCGCCAACGACAACAAUCCACAAACAAUUUGAAAACGAUGUUGAAUCAAGUUUAGAACGUGUCUCAGAAAUAUGUCAAAAAAUUCAUGAAGAAACACUUAGCCAAAAUAAUAUAUUAAAUGGUUUUACGACAAAAUCACAUGUCGAAACAUCUAGAACUAAAUCGAAUUCAAUUGAAAAUUUAGAUAAUAUAGACACAAAUAGUGAUGAUAAUUAUUUAGAAGACUGGAAACGUAGUGCGAAAAUUCGACGUUCGUUACAAAUAACAAAAUUGGGUGAAACAAGUCAUAGUCCACAAUCAUCGAAACGAGUAAUCGAUUUACCAAAUAAUACUGGGAAUGUAAAUAAAAUUAAACAAGAAUUAGAAAAAGGUAGAAGACUGAAUACUGCGUUACGUGGUACAAACGUUGAUUUGGAUGCGUUAGAUCAAAUUCUCAAAUCAAUAUCGCCUGUGAUUAACUCUGAUAAAUUUGAACCUCCCGAAAAAGAUACUGCGCACACUGGAGGAUAUAUUAAGGAAAAUAAACCAGUUUUAAGUAAACGACAUUCUUUUAUCACGGCUGAAUCUUUACAAGAAGUACGAGGUCGAUUACGCCGUUUAAGCUCACCGAUUAAUUACGUUUAUAAAGAUUUUGAAACUCCCAGUAAACAAGAACCCGAACCUGAUGAUGGUAUUGUAGCUGAAGAAAGUCUAAAAAUUGACGAGACACCUUCGACUUCAUCUCGUGUACGAUCGUAUGUAUUCGGUAUGGAGACUGCAAUGGUUAACGGACGUAAAACCGGUAGUCUUGAAUCGCGUACUUCCAGUAAAAGUAAUAGCAUAAAUGGUAAUCGUACUGAAGAUUGGUAUAAUCGUCGAAAAUCUUAUGGUUUUGAACAAAUGCACAAUCAAAACGAUUGUAAUGGACUACAAAGUAAAGUGGAAUCAUCCACGGAUAGUGGAAUUUGUCGUUCAACGGAAAUUACAAUUCUACCAUCAACUUUAAAAUCGGAAGCGAAUGUUAUUCGUAAUAAUAAAAGCACUGUUGUUAAUUUAACGAAUUCGAAACGAAAUGAGCAUGUUGAUCCAUUCUCAAGUCGUAAAGCUCAAGAGGAAUUAAAUACGGUCUGGAAUAAGAUUGCAUCGAUGAAAAUUGGAAAUAAUCAUCAAAAUACGGAACGUGAAUCAAUUACAAUUCGUAUACCAAUUAAAAACGACGGUGAAACUAUAAAUUCAACAAAAAUUCAUUUAAAUUCGGAUCAUGAAUUAAAACGACAUUCAAUCGCAGUCGAUGAAUCGAAGUAUGUAACACAAAAUGAACGAUUUCCACAUUUACGACGAACUAGUUUAGCAAUACCCGAUAAUCGUGAAUAUUUUACGGAUAAUACUGAUGAUGAUUUUAAUCAACAUGGUCGUAAAACGAAAAAAGUUGAAUUUUGUAAGACAGAAGUACAUUUUGCUGCUGAAUCUGGACGUGUUAAUAUUGUGGAAACUGAUGGAAAACCACCACCAACACAAAAUUUCCGAAGACGCCGACGUAAUAGUGGAGGUAAUCAAACGUUAUUAAUCGAAGAUAGUCCUAGAAAUAAUAAUGGUUUACCAUUAACACAUUUCGGUGAUAUAGAUUCCGAUAAGAAGUUAUUUUAUGGAAAGGAAAUUGAUGAAAAAUAUCCAAAAACUUUUGAACCUAUUGAACCGGUAUGGGACAAAUAUAUUUCAAAUACACCAAUCAAAAAUGGUGUUGAUUACGAAGAUGAACAAAAAGAUUCAUCGGAGAAUGAAAACACACCUAAAGGAAUUUUAAAAAAUAAACCAAUCAAACCAAAACCGUAUCAUUUAGGCGAGAAUAUUGAAAUCACAAAUGACAAUCCCAAUAUCACACCGUGGGGAGUACGUUUAAAACCUGUGCACAGUUCAAGUGAUGAAGCAGCGACAUCAACACCACCAAUGUGGCAUUCAACAGUUGUAGUUAAAAAUCCUAAAUUUAAAAAUAUCGAAGAAGAAACAAAUUUAACGAAAUUUCAAAAAGAAUUUAAACAAUUUAAAUCAUCAAAUCAACAUCAAUCAGUUUCAUCCUCACUAUCGGAUGAUAAUUCUAGUGACACAAACAAUUGUGUACGGCGUCCGUCAUGGUCAGUUGCCGAUCGUAUUAAACAAGUGGAAGAUAUGAAAUGGACUGAAAACAAAGGGUAUUCAACGAAAAUUAAUUUUGGUGAAAUCGGUGAGGCAACAAUUGUUAAUCAAAAUAUGGAAAGUAAUAACAAUCGAGCAUCACAAUCUUUGGAGGGUAAUACAACAUGGCAAAAUCAACAAGACAUCAAUACUAUAGAUGAAAUGAAAUCCAUGCCCGUUAUAAACAAAGCUCUAGUUGUUAGAUUUGGCAAGAAGACCGAAACGAAUAAUAACAAUGAAUAUCUAACAAAAUAUAUUGAAAAUACAAAAUCAAGUACCGUAAAUACGAACAGCAACCAUAAAAUCACAAAAAUUGAUUCAACAACGCCAUUACGAAAAAGUCCAAUUGUAUUUAAUAAUAUAAAAUUACCACGUGCCACAUUACAUUCCUUAAAAUCAACAUCAUUAAUCAUGAAUACAAUUCAACAAAGUAAACAACAACAAGAAACAAUCGCAACAACUGUAGUUCCUAAUUACCAAAAAUCACAAACAUCCGACUCAAUAUCAUCCGAAUCAUAUCAUUCGAUAAGUAGUACAACAACCACCGAUGAUUUUAUUAUACCGAAACAAUUAGAAGCUUUAAAGAAAUUAUAUGAAGAUGCUGGUGAAUUAAGUGAUGAUAGUGAGCGGGCUGAUGAAGAAGUUCGAAGUUAUAUGAGUGCUGACACGGAGGAUAAUGAUAAAGUUGUCCCAGUAUUAUCAGCAUCACCGUUAAAAGAUGAUACAAGCAGUGUGUUGUCAGGAAGUUGGAGUAAAAUGCGUGCAAUACAAAUGUCACAAACGUUUAAAAAGUUAAAAAGUGAUUUAAAACCAACACAAAUUAACAAUAAUAACAAUAACAAUAAUAGUAAUAAUAAUUGUUCAUUAAAUGCAAUUAUAACAAUGGAUAAUUGCGAUAAGAAAUACGUUGAAAACAACAGAGAGAGUGUGAAUCAACGUUGGACAAAAUUUACGUCAAAAGAACAACCGAAUAAUAGUUGCACAUCAAACACGUAUGAAAAUGUGAAACAUACUCCAAAACAAGUACCAACAAAUAAUACACGUAGUUAUACAAUUCCAAACACUGAGAAAUUUGAUGGUUCGCCAUCUUCAACGAAACGUCAUUAUCCAAUGAAAUUAUCCGCACAAAAAUAUUAUGAAAAUACAAAUAAUUUAACAUCACCAUCUUUAGUUGGACUACAAACAACAACCCAGUCAACACAAUCAACGCAAACCUCACAAACAACACGCACUGAAACAAAUAAUAAAUAUUUUAUGACGAAUGGUAAAACAUUCGAAGAGAAUUUACGAAAAUAUCCAAGCGAAAAAUUACAAAACUAUAAUGAGAUUAUAACCGAACGAAAAUCGACGAAAGAGUUAAAUACUAGACGAUCACAAUCACCGACUAAAGAAAUAACAUAUUUAAAUCGACGUAAUUCGAAUAAGAGUAACAUGACCCGAAGAUCAUCAUCACCGACAAAUAAUGGUAUACGUGAAACAAUACGCUUACGACCAGUACCAACAUAUUUUGGUGCAAUACGCUCACCCCGAACUCCUCGAAAAUAUAGUGAAAAAGUUAAUGUUUUAGAAAAAAGUGAGACAAAUAAUUCUUUACUUACAAAUAAACCCGAUUUACUUUGCCAUAAUUCAAUAAGUACACGAAUUGGUUCCGAUAUUAAAACCAAAGUAAUCAAAGAAAUUAGCGAAGAUAAACUUCGCCGUGAUUCACCAAUUCCUAACAGUGAGAAAUUACCUUCACCGAUUUAUGCAAACUUAGAAGAAAUUAAAUCAAAUAAAUAUUCAUCGCGUACCUCAGAAACAAUUGAAAAUGAAACAGCAAUUUUAGAAGAAUUAACUCGUGCAGCUGAUCAAAUACUUUUAGCUGUGAAUGGAUACACUGAUGAGGAGUCAUUAAAAAUAAGUACCGAAGAUGAUGACGACGAUAUAAAACGUAAACGAGGAUACGAACGUAAAACUGCCGAUGUUUUAGGAACAAUUUCGGAAACAAAAUCAUGGAGUCAAAAAACAAAAGUAUCCGAAAAGUCAUCGGUGUCAUCAAAAGUGACACAAAGUACACGUUUAACGAAAUCACGAACGCCAUCCACAUCAUCAAUUGAUAGUAUAAAUACGAAUAGUAAAACGAAAAUUGUGGAAAAGAAAGAAGUUGAUGAACAACGACAUAAACGAAAAUCUUCGAAUGAAUCCUCUGUGAAAACAACCACACGAGCUCGUCGAUUACAACGUGCUAGUAGUCGAGAGGCUUUGUUGCAAUCACAUGGUAGUUCUUCGGAGGAUAUUGCGACACCUAUUGUUCCGGCCAGGAAACCACGAGCAACACGUCGAGUUAAAAGUACUGAAAAUAAAGAAUCGAUUAAUUCUUCAUUGAAUAGUAAUUCACAAGCUAAGCGAAGAACGUCAUCAAGUCAAAUUUCUCGAACAUCUUCAUCGAAAAAGGAAGUAGACGUUGUUAAGAAAGAUAGGCAUUCUGUAACAACGGGUCUACCAGAAAUUCGACAUAAAACCGCUGUUAGCACAAUUCGAAGUUCAGCUGAAAAACAAGCUGAAAAAGAGAAAUUACGAAGAAGUGAAGAAAGUCGAAAACGUGUUUCAUCUAGACGAGACCCACAUGGAUCAACAUCCUCAAGUCGUUUAAGAAGUAAUCAUCCAACGUCAUAUCGAGGUACAGAUGGACAUGGCUCUACUUAUGGCACAGCUAAUUUACAUGGAAUUCAAACAGUUCCAGUGGAGCGAAUAACUACAACAAACGGGAACGUUUUGUACGUACCAAAUCCGGCGUAUAGGUGCACCUCAUUGGUAGCAGUGAAUCGUGUUUCACGGUCUGAGUGUCCGUGCCUUUGCUCGUGAUAAAAAAUUCGUUCAUUCAUAAAACAAAGCAUACACACACAAAUGUGUUCUUAGAUUUUUAGAAUAGAUUAAAUAGAAGAUGCAGUCGAAAUGAAGCUCUAAGUCGUC